GCUCUUUUAGCUCAGUGGUAGAGCGGAAGAUUGCAGCAUCUGCUAUCAUCUUCAGGUCAGUCGUUCGAACCGGCUAGAGAGCU